CGAAUCCUGAGUACCAGUGUUAUCCCAUUUUCAAGUACUUUGAGAAUUGGUGCCAAGAUGAGAACAGGCAUGGUGAUUUCUUCUCUGCAUUGAUGAAGGCACAGCCUCAAUUUCUCAAUGACUGGAAAGCUAAGCUGUGGUCUCGAUUCUUCUGCUUAUCGGUAAUUUCCAAUGCAUACCCAUAUGUUCUAUUUUCGUUAAUCUAAUGUUAAUUGUGGCUGAUCUAUAUGCACAAAAUAUAUAUGCAUUUGUUUCUGGGUUUAGGUAAGAAGUGUCCUCUUUGAUGAAUUAAAUCUGAAACUCAAUGUUAAAAUUCAUUCUAGUUUGGUGUUUCUAUAUGCAGUUGGUAAUUCCCUUUUAAUUAAAUGUUUGAGAAAUGAUGUUGCAGGUGUAUGUGACAAUGUACCUCAAUGAUUGCCAGAGAACAGCUUUCUAUGAAGGCAUUGGAUUGGACACCAAAGAAUUUGACAUGCAUGUUAUCAUUGAGGUGAGACUGAUUUCAGCUCUGUAACAUCCAACUCAUACUUUUCUGCUUGCUCCUUGACUAGAUAAUAUCUUGAGAUUGGAAAUUUUGUUCCUUUCAGACCAGGGAAUUGAUAGAAAAUAAAUCAAUUUUAUUGAAUAUUAUGAAUUUCGAAUUUAAGUGCUAGUAUGAAACAUUUUUAGAACUUGAGAAGAUGCCCUUUAAUAAACCUACCUGGUACAAAUCCAAAUAAGUUGAAUUAGUAGGUUUUGGAUAAGAGAACAUAAAAGAAUCAAAGUUGUGCAGCCGUAAACUUUUACAAAAUCAUGGAUGAUUUUAGUUUCUUUAAAAUGAAAAUUUUUGAGAAUUAAAUUCUUUCAUUCCAAAUAAUAUUAAGGAAUUAAUAGAAAAACUGAAACUAGUGCAACCGUAGACUUAGCUUGGUGAUAGUCGCAUAUUGUGGAACCUGAGAGUUCCGGCUUCAACUCCCCCCUCCCCUUAGCCAGUAGUAAAAAUAAAAAUAUAAAAGUGGUGUUAUGAUGGUUCUGCUUUUACAACGCGUCCAAUAGGAUGUUCAAUUGUGACCAAAUCACUAUAUUUGCACAAGUCUAUGAAGAUAGUUGUCCAAAAUUUUCUUUUCUAUGCAGACAAACCGUACGACAGCAAGAAUUUUCCCAGCAGUGCUGGAUGUUGAGAACCCAGAAUUCAAGAGAAAGUUGGACCGUAUGGUGGAAAUUAACGAGAAGUUGGUUGCUGUUGGGGAAACCCAAGACAAUUCAUUGGUGAAGAACUUGAAGAGGAUUCCACUUGUUGCAGCAUUGGUUUCUGAAAUCUUGGCUGCAUAUCUGAUGCCACCAAUUGAAUCUGGUUCUGUAGAUUUUUCAGAGUUUGAACCACAACUGCUUUACUGAUAAGUUUUCCUUUUGUUUCUCAUGUAAUAUUCAUCAUAUAAAUCUGAGGAAACAUUUUCAUCAACCUUGUUAUAAUUUUCUUCACCGUCCACAUGUCUCCUUAUGAUUAAGAUUUAUUAAAAUCCUACGGUAUUUUAUUUGCAAUUUUAUGAUUUCCUACAAUUUAAUUUCUGUAAUGUAAACACAUACAGAGAUAAAAAAUUUUAAAAAAACAACGAUCAAAUAGUUAGCUCUUAAAUUACAGAUUUCACUGAAUUACAAAGAUCAAUUUACUAAACUAUGUUAAUCAAAUUAUGUUUAUGUAGGUGAUAGGGAAAAAUAAGCUCUUAUUAUUAUGUCUAACUACAUGUGCAUCUUUCACUUUCACAUCAUAUCAUCUUUUUAAUUCCAUAUUUACACUAAACAUAUAAAGGAAGUUCAGUUUCCUAAUUUUUUGAUAAUAUUUAUUAAAAAGUAAUUAAGAAAAUUCUAAUUUUAUUUAAUAAUUAAAAAUAAAAUAAUAUUUUAUUAUUGUUAGUAUAAAUAUCUAAAAUCUAUUAAACUUGAAUUAGAAAAGAUGAGAUUAUGUGAGAUAUAAAAAGAGAAAAACACUAUUUUUUUGAUUCAAAAAAGAAAAACACUAUUUUAAUUAAAUUAACUUAUAUAAAAUGAAUUAAAACACUCACUUGUUUCCACACAUCUAGUUCACAAGCACUUUAAAGCAUUAUCUCAUAUUAUGUCCUUCUAGCAAUAGCAUAAGGAAAUACGGGUAUAUAUUUAUAUAACUUCUGUAUUCAUUACUGUUUAAUACGUACAUACUAAAAUAUAAUUGAAUAAAACACAAAAGAUUAUGAUGACUAGUUAUAAUGUAGAUCUAUAUGCAAUUUAAUUAUGGACAAUAAAAAUGAUAUAACAUAAGUAUGAUAAGCAAAUCCAGUGCCCCUAAUUAACUAAUAUCAAGAUUUAGCAUAUACAAACAAAUGAACUUUAGAUAUUCUCAUAUAUUUCUAAGUAUACAUGAAAUAAAUAUUUAAUUGAUCUUUGUCAUAUUAUAUGACUAAUGCUUCCACAUUUCAAUAAUCAAAUGCAUAAAUGGUAGCUCUAUGAACAUAUAUGAAAAAUCAUAGGAUUAUUGUAAACUUUUAAUUAAAUCUCAGUAAUUAUAAACACACAGCGAGAUUGACUAGAUAGACAAAGUAAUUAUAAUUAUAGACAUGGAGUGCCAAAUAGUAGACUUAAUAGCUAGAUUUAUAAAUGUGAUGGUAGAGCUCAAAAGCUGAACUUGUAAGGUAUCUCAUUGUACCCUUUGAAUAUAAGUCAAACAAAAGGUAUUAGUAUUGUAGAUCUGUGUAUAUAACAUGUCAUAUCCUUAUACUAAUCUCGACUUCUACUGAGUUUACUAGAACUAAAUACAUUAGAUAUCACUUAUCAAAUUAUAUUAGAUAAACAUAUGCAUUAUUCCAUAUCAUUCUUUAAACAAAAAUAUCAAACUAUGCAUAUUGGCAAUAUUGUAAUUUCAUAUUAUUGGAUGCUCAUUAUCGGUAGCAUUAUUUCAAUGCACAAUUUUAAUAGCUUAAUAAUUUUAGUGGCAUAAUAAGUAAACUUGAAAUAAUCAUCUUGAACUUCAAGCAAGCAUGAAAUGGUCAUUUUGUACUUAUUGAUGCACGAAAAGUUUUUCGAUAAUCUAGCAAGUACAUAAACUAAGCAUGUCAAGCAAGCAUAUGCAUAAUUCUAACAAAAAGCAAGCACACCAAAUUUUUAAGCCUAUUAUCACACUAAGAAUACAUUCAAUCCAAAUUUGUGACACAUUUUAAAAGACAAAAUUAGAGUAAAGUCUCUUCAUGAAAGUUGUAUAUUUUUAUCUUAACUUUCAAUAAGGUAUGGUAUACUUAAUACUUAACUUAUGAAUUUUAUUUUAUAAUCUGCCUUAUAAUAUGUUUAACAGUCUAGAUUAGAUAUCGAUUCUAACUUACUAAAGAAAAUAAUUUAGUAAUUUUGCAUAUAUAAUUAGACUUAGGUGUCUUUUACAAAAUUUUAGUUCUACUUCUUACAAUUCAUUUGGCUCUAGCCUUACCUUAUUUUACUAAGUAUAAAUCUAGUUAAAGUUUAAAGAAUAUAGACCGUUUUGGAUAUACUAAUCCUAGAACCGGUUUUGUCUUGUAUUUUUCAUUAUCUUAGAUUUAGAAUCAGAAAAUGAUAUUUCAUUAAAGUUUUAGUUUAUUGUCUUAAGUUUCUUUUGUUCGUGUUACACCUCAAUUGAAUAUUUACACAAGAAGUUAAAACUUUCUAAACAUAUAUUGCCCAAUAGGUAUACAAUUUGCCGCAUUAGGAUUUAAUAACUAAACUAGUUUUCCUUCAUUUUCAAUCUUUCAAAACUCAUUUCUAAAUUUAUAUAGCACUUUUAAAUAUUCAAUUAUAUACCACCAAUAACAACACAUAAAUCCUAAUUGUACAAAUUCAAGAAAAAUUCAAAGAAAAUUUAGAAAUCAAAGAAUACCAAACUUUUUACUCCAAUUCCUUUCUAAUUUCUUUGUUUCACCAUCUUUACCCUUCACUAUUUCUUUUUCCGUUGAAGUUGACUCACCUAUAUCAAUUUGUAUUAUAAAAGAAUUGAAAAAAAAAAGAAAAAGAAAAAGAAAGCUUUAUGCAUUAAAUUAGUAUAUGAAAAUAUAAAAGGAUGAAACUUCCUACACUUUUCCUUCAGGUUAAGUUCCUUUAGUGUAGGAAAAUUUUUCAAGACUCUUGUGAUUUGUAUAAAUGUAACGCUUUUCGCCAUAAAUAUAUUGCCUCCAUAUCUUUAAUGUAAAAAUUAUGGCUGCCAACUUCGAAUCAUGGAUGGGAUAGUUUUUCUCAUGCAAUUUAAGCUGCCCAAAACCAUAGACAACUACCUUUCCCUCCUACAUCAAAAUGCAACCAAGUCCAUAAUGAGAAUAUCACUACAAAUCAUAAAAUCCUUGUCCCACAUUGGUUGAUUAAGGACAUGUGCUCCUACAAGCAUCACUUGUAGUUUUUCAAAGCUUUCCUAGCAUUUUCCAUCCUAUUUAAAGUUAGUAUUUUUAUGCAACAAUUUAGUUAGUAGAGCUAUUAUAAGUGAAAAUCUCUUUACAAAUCGUAUGUAAUAUCCAACUAACCUGAAAGAAACUUCUAAUCUCUGUAGCAUUCUUAUAUGGCUUUUAUUCAAGGAUUGCUUCAAUCUUUUUAGGGCCAACUCUAAUCCCCUUUAUUGAAACAUAAGUGUAUAAUAUAAUCAAUAUCUAAUACCCAUAACUGAUUUUCAAAAACAAUAUUAGUAUUUAUUUUAAUAAUAUAAAUAUUAGUAUAUCCAUUCAUCUUCAUCCAUGUUGCUCAGUUGGAGUUCCUUCCAACAACUCGCAAUAGAAUAACAGUUUUGAUAUCUCAUAUCGUUCCAUGCGACAUUAUUUUCUUCAAAUGGAAGAUGAUUGUAUGAGCAUCCAUAUGCUCGUGUUGCUUUUAGAGCUCUGAAGAUAUAGAGGCAAGCAUGAUGCAUGUUGCAUGUUGCCCACUCACUAUCCUCAGUAUGCUUUAGAUAAGCAGCAUAUUCCUCAGCAAGUGCAUCAUCUCGUGAACUAGUGGAAUAGCCUUAUCCAACACAUUAACUACUUUUUUAUACUUAGAGAACAAUUCUAAAGUUUUAGUACCAGGCCAUGAAGUUUGAGCCAGAUAGAUUAUUUGCAUCAAGAAUGCUUUCCAAGUUAAUGUUUUAAGUUUUCAUGAUGAUGAUGAGAUAGAUGUAAAGAAAACAUAUUAGAGUAUGAAUAUGAAUGCAUUAUUUAUGGUCUUUAAAUUAUGCAUUUUACCCACUAUUUUAUUGCAAACCAAUAGCCCUCACUAUUAACUCGAGAAAGCUUAUUGGGGUUUUCCUAGUGAGUCGGUUUUCAAUUAAAUUAAAAUUAAGCAUUGAGCAUGCUCAAUAAAUCCAAUUUUAAUUUUUAUGGUAGGUAUCUCAUACCAAUUGCAUCUUAUGCUACUAUUGAAUCAUUGGAAUAUCAACUCUUAAUUAAUGUAUAUCUCAUAUAUAUAAUUCCAUUCUUGCCUCUAAUUUUAACCGUCUUGAGUAUGCUCAACAAAUUAAAAAAAUUAUUUAAGACAUACCCAUUAAUAAGAUUUGAACAUAUUCGAUGUAGAAUUAGUUUGAGUAUAUUCAAGAAUCCAGUUGUAAAUAGAAUCUUGGUUUCCACUUUAUUAAUAAAAGGCAUGAUAUCUUAAUGCUAUUAUGAGAGAUUUUUUCCUUUUAAUUCUCAUCAUACAUAACAUACAUACUUUUAUCAUACAAAAGUAAAUAUGAUUUAGUUAUGAACUUUUCUACAUUGGAUUCUUCGAGCCAUGAAGCAUGAGGUCUCUUCUAGGCAGAUUGCAUGAUUUACAAUCUAAAGAAAAUAAUUACAAUCUAUCUAAUUUUCUUCUUUGGAUCUCCUUUCGAAAUGCCUCCUACAAGUUUCCAUGUGCAACUUCUUACUUUGGUAUUUAAUUCUAAUAUAAUUCUACGUAAUUUAAUUGUAUAAUUCUUUUCAAAAAUAUCUCAAGUUGCAUUUGAGGAGAGUAAGAUGAGAAAAGAAAUACAAUAAAGAGAUAUAGAGAAAGAUAGGAUAUACAUGCCCUAUUUUUCAAAAAUAAAAAUUAUACAUGAUCAAUCAUAUUGGUCAUUUUAAUUCAUAACUAAAUCAUCAUACCAUCAUACACUCUUAAAUGCAAAAUCUGGUGCAAAGAAAAACUCCGCAUAUACUUCUGUCACUUGAUGGAUUUUGAGCAUCCAACUUUUGAAUUUCAAUUUUUUUACAUAUAUCUAUUUUUAUUAUGGAAUUCAAAUUGAAUUAAAUAAUCUCACUAAUUUAAUUUGAAAAUUAUAAUAUUAAAUAUGAAUUUUAAUAAUUAAAUUAGAUUUUAUAAUCUCAUUAUAAUUUUUUGUUAGCCAUUUUCUUGCUUAGAAAUUAAUCCAAAUGACUUGGACAUAAUUUUAAAUCUUAUGAACAUAAAUUAUAAUAUAUUAUAAUUAAUAUAAUUAAUGAAUAACAGCAUCUAAGCUGAAACUAGCUCUAAGAGUUAACAAGAAGCUUCUAAACUUAAUUAUAUUGCAUGUUCAGAUUUUGUGCAAAUUGAUUUAUUAUUAAAAUCUAUCAAAUAUUACAUAUUAUAUAGCAAUCAGAUUUAAAAAUUUUGGGAUUAAUGGUCACCAAAAGCUCUAUGUAAUGAAUUUAAUUCACUACUCAAUUUUAUUUUGGCCAGAAUUUCAUCUUAGACCAAAAUUCUUAAUUUUAAUUGCAAUAAAAUUCCAAUAAAACACUGAUCUGAUGUUAAUUGAAUUAAAAUUAUUUUUUAUUUGAUUAACUGAUCUAAUUUUAAUUGAAUUAAAAUUAUUUUUUAUUUGAUUAUAUCUGAAUUUUCAUCUCAUGAAGAUUCCUAAACAACAACAAUUUCAAGAUUCUUGCAAAAUUGUAUACCAUGGCCGAAUUCUCUUCUUUGCCGAAUCUUGAUCCUAUUUUUCAAUCAAAAUCAGAACUUAAUCAAUUCUAGUUAUUUCAAAAAUAUUUGUAAUUAAUUUAAAUUAGGUUAUUCAUCUUAUAAAAUAAUUGCGCAAUCAGCCCCUAUCAAAUUUUUUUUUCCGAAUAAUUAGUUACAAGGUCAAUUCUAAACUUUUUUUACACUUGUUUAUUAAUCAAAUUUAGAUUUUACUUAUUCUUAAUUAAUUCUGUAUAUUUAUAAUUAAUUUAGAUCAUAUUAUUCAUCAAAUAAAUAAUUAAAAAUAAUUGCACAAAUCAACUCCUAUUAGAUUUGUUAUAGAGUAUAGGAAGUAAAUAUCUUAAUAUGGGAAGUAAAUAUUGAUAGCUGUGUUAGUUGCUUAAUCUUAUAAUUGUAUAAUCAUAGACUUAAUUUUCCUUCAUGUUUAGAUACCGUCUUUUAUAUAUAAAUAGAUUAUAAUCUUUAUUAUGAAAUAUAAUAAUAAAAUAUUAUAUUUCUACAUAGUAUCAGAGUUAGGUUCGUAGAGAUUUAUUUUUUUUCUCUCUCGUCAAGUCUUAAAUUUUUGGAGACUCAAGACUCCUAUUCUUUUGUGUUAUCUAUCUAGGAUAAUAUUUGUCUCUCACCGUUCACCUAAAGAGGAUGUCAAAGUCGCCUUUCAGCUCCCUUAUCAGAUUUGCGGUUCGUUUAGGUGUUGGGUGGAGGCUUUUUUUGAUACUAUUCAUUUGGGUUAUCCAUAAAAGGUAACAUUUGGAGACUUAGGGCUUUGUUCAUUUGGGUUAUCCAUAAAAGGUAACAUUUGGAGACUUAGGGCUUUGUUCAUUUGGGUUACCCAUAAAAGGGUAACAUUUGGAGACCUAGGCUCUGUUCAUUUGGGUUACUCAUAAAGGGUAACAUUUGGAGACCUAGGACUCUGUUCAUUUGGGUUAUCCAUAAAGGGUAACAUUUGGAGACUUAGGGCUCUGUUCAUCAGGUAUUAUUCACGGGAAUUAUUCAUCGGGUACUGUUCACGAGUACGGUUCAUCGGGUGCUGUUCACGAGUCUCGAGUACUGUUCACGGAUUCGAAAUUCUAUUCACAGUAAGAUGAUUAGUCUUAUUAAUCAUUCUAAAUUUGUUAAAGAAUUAAUGGAGUAUUUGAAAUUUCUAUAUUCUGGCAAAGGGAAUAUUUCUCGUAUUUAUGAUGUGUGUAAGGUGUUUUACCAAGCUAAGAAAAUGUGGCCUCCCGUUGUAGUGUUGAACCUGAAUGUCAAGUCAUAGCACAAAUCAUUUGUGAAGUUCUGUAGGUACGUCAAUUAUUGGAAGAAGUUAGAUUCACAAAUUCAGUGUCUGCUAAGUUGUAUGGGACGAGUUGAGUUACCCAUAAAAGAGUAACAUUUGGAGACAUAAGGCUCUGUUCAUUUGGGUUACUCAUAAAGGGUAACAUUUGGAGACCUAGGACUCUGUUCAUUUGACUUAUCCAUAAAGGGUAACAUUUGGAGACUUAGGGCUCUGUUCAUCAGGUAUUGUUUGUUGGAAAAUGGUAGAAAAAGAUAGAGAAAAUAAAUAAAAGAUGAGCAGAAUAUUGCUUGAGGCGUGAUAAUAAUCACUGUCCUUAAGGAUAAUUCACCUACAGUUGCGUAUCCUCCAGGAUUCAACAAGCCUUCUGAAUUACAAGUAACCCAGGAGCAAGAACAGCAGCUUAUGUUUAAUUACCCAGAAAUAGAGAAGAAACAAUAGAGAGAAAAGAGAAGUAUUUAGUUUUUUUGUGUGUAUCCCAUAACACAUAAAUGCACUCCUAUUUAUAGUGCUUAUGGUUAUUCAAAUCCACAAUAUCAGAUAAAAAUAUUAUUCAGUUAAGAUAAAGAUUUAAGAUAUCCACAAAAUCAAAUAAAAAAUCUGGUUUAGUUAGGAUAAAGAUUAAGAUAAUUUAAAGUGGAAAAAAUCUUUUUAACCAACUUAAAAUCUGUAACUUAUUUCAAAAUAUUUUUAUGAUUCUUUUGAAAUAAUUUGUUAAAUAUCCAACAUUGUUCACGGGAAUUAUUCAUCGGAUACUGAUCACGAGUACUGUUCAUCGGGUAUUGUUCACAAGUCUCGAGUACUGUUCACGGAUUCGAAAUUCUAUUCACAGUUGUAACAGCCCGGAAAUCCGGACCGCUACCGGCGCUAGGAUCCAGAUCGGCGUAAGGCCGCCGGGACCCGUAGCAAGCCUGACAUAUAUCCUGUAAACCUGUAAAUCCCAUACAUGAUCAACAAAACUCAUAAACCUGUAAUCAUUCUCAUAUAACAACCAAGCUCAACCUGUACAUAAACAUAAACAUAUCAUAAACCUCCACUGGAGCCCUCAUCAAAUGCUCCAAUGGGGUAUCUCAUCAUACAUAAACUUGGCUGAAAUAUAACCUCAUGUCUCAUAUCAUAAAGACCAUGUACAUACAAGUGGGAUCAACAAUCUGUAUUGGUCAAGCACAACUCUAUCCUCAAUAUUCAAAAUUUCACAACAUGAAUUAAAACUCUUUUACAUUACAUCAUAAUACAAUGGUCAUGUCCACAAUCUAACUAUUACAUAACAUUGCUUCAUACUCUGGCUAACCUCCUGGUCUACCCUGUACCUGCACAUCUGGGAUUAGGGGAGAGGGGUGAGCUAUAAAGCCCAGUGAGCAGAAUAGAGAAAACAUAUAUUAAAAUAUUUCAUGCUUCCAUGAAAUGCAACACAUCACAAACAUAUCACAUAAGGAUGGUAUUGUCACCUAUAGUCCUCAACAUAUUCCAAUCGUGCCAGGGGCGUAGAAUGGGCCUCACUGGUCUUUCUCUUACAUACAUAACAUAACAUAACAUUCCAAUGUGCCAGGGGCGUAGAAUGGGCCUCACUGGUCUUUCUCUUAACAUAGUCCAGGGGCGUAGAAUGAGCCUCACUGGCAAUCCGUACCGUAUCAUCAUCAUAUCAUACCAUAGGAGGACUAGAGGAUCAUCCAAUAGCCAAUCCGCAUCCACAUCAUAUUAUGCAAUGCAACAUAUUCGUGAUUACUAAUGCAAACACCCUAUAAUAUCACAUGGCAUAUAUGAUGCAUGAACAUGCUCAAAAAGUUAUAUUUCAUUUAUUUAAAAACUUAAGGUUUAUUCCACUCACCUCUGGCUGAAGCUCUACAGACUCUGAAGCAGCUAUCUCACUGCUGGGGUCCUCGGUUCCUCGGGUCCGAACCUACACAGGUGGACUCCAAUGAGGGACCAACAUACAUAAACAUAACUCUAAUAAACUCCCCAAAAACCCCCUAAAACAUCAGGAAAACAUCAUAUAGAAAGAUGCAUGAAAUGGCUGAACAGGGCACUUUCGGCGGCACCUUCGGCGGCCGAAAGUCCUGGACAGAUCCGAAAGUCAGGCACUUUCGGCGGCACCUUCGGCGGCCGAAAGUCCCAGACAGAGACGAAAGUCUCUUUUCGGGGGCAACUUCGGCAGCCGAAUGCUGCCUCCACAAAAGAGGGUUCGGCGGCCGAAAGUCACUUCGGCGGCCGAACCUGAGCUUCUCCCGAAGGGCAGAAACUCAGCUCCUCUAUGCACAUUUUGCCUCCAAAGCUCAAAUCAUGUAAAAACUAGUUCUAAAACAUGCAUACCUCACAUACAUUACACCUAGGGGUCUCAAGCUAUCAUAUACCCCAACUACAACACUUCAAACAACACAUAACAAGCUACAUUGUUCAUCAAAGCAUUAAAACCCAUAAACUCAACAUACACCCUAACAUGCAUUUCUACCCAUAGAUCUUGCAUAAAACUUAGUUAAAACACAUAAGGAGCUUAAGAUCAGUUCUUACCUCUUGAAGAUCGAGAGGGAGACGACCUAAACUUGGAGAUCCACAAAAAUGAGCUCCUGAGUUCCCAAAGCUCCAAAACUUGUUUCGAAAGCUUAGAUCUUCAAAACCAAGGGAAAACAAGUGAAAAUCUUGAAAGAUUUAGAGGAAGAACAUCAAAAAUGGGUGAGGGGCGGCGGAAAGCUCACCUUGGCCGAAAAUGGGGAAAAACUCGCCCGUUUUCGGCUAAGGGACCCUUUUAUAGUGGCUGGCCAGACCACGUUCGGGGGCCGAAUGUGCCUCCGCAUGCAUGCCAUGUUCGGCGGCCGAACAUGAGGUUCGGCGGCCGAACCUGGACUUCCCUCACUCGUGCUUUCGGGGGCCUAACGUGCCUCCAAAACGCAUGCAUGUUCGGCGACCGAACUUGACCUUCGGCGGCCGAACCUGGGUUUUGCUCCAAAGACUUUUCAUGUAAAAACUCAUUUAAUUUCAUACUUAAAACAUUAAAAUACAUGAAAACAUUUUAUGAAAACAUGGUUUUACCCUUCUAGAGGUUUCCGACGUUCGAGAUCCCAUCGGACGGUAGGGAUUCCGAUACCGGAGUCUAGCCGGGUAUUACAACAGUAAGAUGAUUAGUCUUAUUAAUCAUUAUGAAUUUGUUAAAGAAUUAAUGGAGUAUUUGAAAUUUCUAUAUUCUGGCAAGGGAAUAUUUCUCGUAUUUAUGAUGUGUGUAAGGCGUUUUACUAAGCUAAGAAAAUGUGGUCUCCUGUUCUAGUGCUGAACCUAAAUGUUAAGUCAUAGCAAAAACCAUUUGUGAAGUUCUGUGGGUACGUCAAUUAUUGGAAGAAGUUGGGUUCACAAAUUCGGUGCCCGCUAAGUUGUAUGGGACGAGUUGAUUAUAUAUGUAACAAGUUGGGUAUAAUUAACAUUUAUGCUCCACCUUGAGGGGAGUGUUAUAGAGUAUAGGAAGUAAAUAUAUUAAUAUGGGAAGUAAAUAUUGAUAGAUGAGUUAGUUGCUUAAUUUUAGGGAUUGUAUAAUCAUAGACUUGAUUAGAUACCGUCUUUUAUAAAUAAAUAGGUUAUAAUCUUUAUUAUGAAAUAUAACAACAAAAUAUUAUAUUUUUACAAGAUUCUUACUCAAAAAAUUAAUUACAAGGUCAAUCUUGCACUUUCUUAUAGAACUUUUUUAGAUUUUAAUGAAUCCUAAAUAAAUUUGAAACUUUUUAAAAUGAUUUAGAUUAAAUUAUUGAUCUCAUAAACUAUCCUAAUCAAGUUGAACAAUUACAAGAAAACCCAAUUCCAUUAAAAAUCUAUGUUGGUCAAAACAUGCAAUAAUUGUUUUCUCCUAAAUCUUAAUGGUAAUCAAACUCUAAUACCAUUUUUGGUCUUUCAAGGUUAUAAAUAAACAUAUGACAAUAAAAAAUUAAAUUAUGAAUACCCAAACAACGGAAGAUUUGAGUUCAUGAAGUAGAAGGUGCAAAAUUUUUACUUUUGAGAUUGAAGUUUCUUGAUUUCUUUCUUUUAAUCGGUUUGAUUCAAACCAUAAUAAUCAAAUUUCAUCACCUCUAAUAAUAAUUCACACCAAGAUGAGAAGCCAAGAGCUCUCAAAGAGCAGCAAUAAUAGUAAAAAAAAUUCUCUAGGUGCUACUAAAGGAAUUCGGCCAAAAGAAAGAAAGAAAGAGGAGAAGUGAUCUUGUCUUGCACGCCCAACCAUUCCCAAGAUGGGUUUUUACAAUCUCCUUAGACUUAUUUUCUCUUAUAAUUUAACCCUAAUAUAACUUUUAUAUGGGCUAGUAAUUUAAUUAAUUGAUUAGAUCUAACUAAUUAAUUAGGGCCAUUAUACAUAUAUUAAUUAAAAAGUGAGCUCUUUUAAUUACUACUUGAUAUAAUGGAUUAGACCCUUUAAUUUUUUUUCUUUUAAAUAGAUCCAUUAAUAUUUCAUGAUAAUAUUUAAAUCAUUAUUUUACUUUGGAUUCUCAUUCCUAUAUGUGCAUGACCAAAUAAGUUUCUAAUUACACAUAAUUUUAAUGUAACGACCCCAGAAUGGACCGUCACCGGCGCUAGGAUUCAGGUCGGCUUAAGGCCGCCAGAACCCGUAGCAAGCCUGUUAUACUCUCUGUGUACCUGUAAAUCUCAUACAUGAUCAUACAUUUUAUGUGAAAAUAAAAACUCUUUUCCUGAUCCAAGGCUUAACCUGUGCAUGCACUAUCUCUGUCUGUACCCCUGACUAGAGCUGGCUCUAGAUGGGUUAUCUCAUACCUGUUAAGCCUGGGUUUUCACAUACUCAGCAAAAUAUAUACAUAAACAGAUCAUGUACAAAAACCAAAGAUUUACAACACAACUAUGUCAAGCACAAUUCUAACUGUAAACACAAUUAACAUAUCUCUUUAAUAUUACAUGUCCACUCUAAGCUAUUACAAGUUUCUUCUCUUAUCUCUGAACUCUUCUGACCUUCCCCUGUACACUGUAUACUGAAUCCUGCAAGACUGGGAUUAAGGGAGUGGGAUGAGCUCUAUAGCCCAGUGAGUAGAACAAUAAAAUCAGUCAUAACAUAUGAUCUCAUGGAAUGCAUCAUAACACAGACAAGCCACAUCAAGAGUAAACCUGUCACCACAUAGCCUCAGUAACUUCCGUGCCAGGGCGUAGAAUCGAGCACCUGGUCUUCCUGUCAUAUAUGUAUAUGUGUGUAUAACACCUCUGUACUUACCGUUGCCAGGGCGUAGUCAAAGGCUCCUGGACUUUACUAUACCUGCCAGGGCGUAGUCAAAGGCUCCUGGUCUUAACUCAGAGACUAUUGGAUCAUUCAGCAUUUACUCACACCAACAAUUAACAAUGCAAUGCAACAUAUUCGUGAAUACUAAUGCAGGCAACCUACUUGCAUAAUCAUGAUGCAUGAGAUAUGAUAAAACAUUCCAUUGUUUCAUUAAAAACAUUAAGUUUAGUUCCACUCACCUCUGGCUCUGGACUGACUCUACAGGUUCAGUAAACUCUGGAGCAGUACUCACUGCUGCUCUCUCUGGUUCCUCUGGUCUGUAUAAACACAUAAAGACUUAAAUGAGGGACCAAACUAUCUUAAGAAUAAUUCUUUUACACUACCCAAGAAACCCCUUACUCUCACUCUAAAACUCAUGCAAAACAUGCAAAAGAAAAGCUGGACAGAACACUUUCGGCGGCAGGUUCGGCGGCCGAAUGUCCCCUUCAGAGACGAAACUCAAGCACCUUCGGCGGCACCUUCGGCGGCCGAAUCCCCCAAACAGAGCCGAACAUGCAAAACCACUCGGGGGCAAGCUGUGGCAACCAAACCACCAUGCAGGAGGUUCGGCGGCCGAAUGAACUUUCGGCUGCCGAACCUGAGUUCAUCCAGAACUCAGCUUCAACGGCAAACCAUCUCCUUCUUCCCUUCAACUUCUCAAACCAUGCAAACGUCACCUCCUCAACAUACAUAUACUCAUGUAUAUGGUUACAGGGGUCCAAACUAUCUACUAACCCCAAACAACAAAUCAAACAUAACACAUAAACAUGUAUACAUGCAUAACUCAUCAAAACUACCAUUAAUAACCUAAGCAUGCAUCUCUUUCACCCCAUAAAACCUUCAGAAAACAUAUAAACAGGUUCUAGAUCUUCCCUUACCUCUGUAAACAGGAAGAUGCACGUACUGAACAAGGGAAACGGAUCAACUUCUCUUCAAACUCUCAAAACCUCAAAAACGUAGCUUGAGUUCUCUCAACUUUCAACACCGUUGCAAACACCUCAACCUUCUGUGUGAUCAACCAAAACAUGUACAGAUGAGUCAUAAGAGACGUGGCCCCAUGGCAAGAAUCUGAGGCCAACAUCUGUCAAAAUACAUGACUCAGCUGACCAGCCAACUCAGCUUCGGCUGCCCAAUCGCAUGCAAAACCAUGCAACAUUCGGGGGCCGAACUUACCUUCGGAAACCGAACCUUGAGCACCUUCGGCGGCCGAACUUACCUUCGGCGGCCGAACUUGGCUCAACUGCCUUAGGUCAUUACAACUCAAAACUCACUUCCAUUAACCUUAAAACAUCAACACACAUCACACCACUUAGUAAAACAUAAAUCCUACCUUUUAUAGAAUUCCGACACCCCGGAUUCCACCAGUCAACAGGAAUUCCGGUGCCGGACUCUAGCCGGGUAUUACAUUUAAUUUAUAAUUUAAACCCUUUAAAUUAUAAUUCAUUCCCAACAAUUUAUUUUAUUUAUAUUAUGUGCUCAUUAUGAAAGGCAUCUAGCUAUGUAUUAUAAUUACUAAAAUGCGAGAAGGUCAAAGGUGGUUUGACCAUAAAUCUUCUUAUCCAGUUAUCAUAUAAUAAAUUCCUUUCACUUUAUUAAAUCAAUCUCUAUUGAAUAUGAUCUUUGUAUUAUAUAUAUUUGGCCAUAGAUUUAUUUUAAAAAUGAUACAACUAUAUCUUACUAUUAAUUCAGAUAUGGUGAAUCCUUUAUUGAUCAUUCAAUUAUCCUAAAGUCUUAUAUGCUCUCAACUUUCAAUACUUCUUGGUGAAGUACAAGCCUUUCAAUCAAAAUAUAGUACUUAUAUACUUAAGAUAUCUUUGAUGAUAUCAAGUCUAAGAUAUUUUCACAAUUGGUAUGAUGUGAUAUGUUUAUUUAUAUUAAAUUCGGGUUUCUAACUUGCUUGUUUUUGAAACAAGCAUACAUAUGUUAAUUUAAGCAUUUUAUAUUUUUAGUUUGCUCAAAAGAGUAUAAUAUAUGCUAGCCUACCUAUAUUAAUGAUGUCUCAUCAUGUUAAUACUAUGGUUAGAGAUAAUUCAGGUAUUAACACAUUUAUAUAUAGUAGAAACCUCACAUUAUAAACUCUUCAUGCUUUCUUAUAUAUUAUAAUUUACAAUACUAAAGACUUUAUUAUUAAUUAAUAGUGAGUACUAAUAAAUAAAGAAUGUCCUUUAAUAAUAAAUAGUUAUCCCUAUUACAAAUCACAUUCUAGGGCAUACUACUAACAUGAACUCCUCUUUACCUUUACAAAUAUCUAUAACCUGCAUGUUGUCAAAAUAAACACGUUGAGCUUAUACCCAAUGGGUGUCUAACAAAGCCUAAGAAACACAUUUCAUAAUAAGCAUGCAUAUUAAAUCAACUAUUUGACAUGCAAUUUAGUUAUGAACAACAAAUAUAAUGUAUCAUAAGCAUAAUGAGCAAGUUCAAUAUCCCUUAUGUAAUGUUGGCUAAUAUAAAGGCAAUUCAAUUCAGCAUAUACAGAUAAAUAAAUUUUAGGCAUUCUCAUAUGGUUCCAAGUAUAUAUGAAAUACAUAUUUCAUUGAUCUUUGUCAUAUUGAAUAUCCAAUACUUUAAGAUCUAUGCCAAAUUCCAAUAGUCAAAUACAUAAAUGAUAGCUUUGUGAACAUAUAUAAAAAUCCAUAGAAUUUCAGUGAACUUUUAACUAAAUCUCAGCCCUUAUAUACACACAUUAGGAUUGACUAGAUAGAUAAGAUAAUUGUAAUUAUAGAUACAGAGUGUCAAAUGGUAGGCUCGCAAGCUAGAUCCAUAAAUGUAAUGGUAGUGAUCAAAAGUUGACUAUGCAGCGAUUUCGCUCUAGCCUGUAAAUCUUAGUCAAAUAAAUGGUAGUAAUACCGUAGAUCUGUGUAUAAUUGUAUAUAGCAUGUCAUACUCUUAUACUAACCUCGACUCCUACUAAAUUUAGUAGGGUCAAAUACAUUUAAUAUAAUUUAUCAAGUUAUAUCAAAUAAAUAUAUGCAUUAUUUUAUGUCAUUCUUUAAGCAAACAUAUCAAAAUAUGAAUAUUGGCAAUUUUAUGUCACCGGUUGCUCGUUAUCGGUAGCAUAAUAAUUUUUGUGUACAAUUCAAUAACUCUAUAAUUUUAGUGGCAUAACAAGUAAACUUAAAAUGGUUAUUUCAAACAUCAAGAAAAUGUGAAAUGGUCAUUUGUACUUAUCUCUUGAUGUACAAAACUUUUUCCACAAGCUAGUACAUAUAUAAACCAAACAUGUGUAAAAUUUCUAAAAAAGCAAGCACGUCAAAUCUUUAAGCCUAUUUUUACACCAAGGCUGCAUUCUAUCCAAACUUGUAAUAGAUUUUUAGAUAUCUUAAACACAUAAUUAGAUGAAAAGUUUAUUCAUAAAAGUUGUGUAUUUUUAUCUUAGCUUUCUAGCAAGAUUUGAUAUUAAUUUUGAGUACUAUAAUUUAUGAAUUUUUCUUUACAAACUGUCCUAAAGUGUGUUUUCAAGUCCUAAUUAGGUACCAAUUUUUAACCUACCAAAGGAAAGCAUUUUGCCAAUUUGCAUUUACAAUUGAAUUUAGGUUUCUUCAAUUAAGCAGGUCCAGUACUUCUUAAGGUUCAUUUGACUCUAUUCUCACCUUAUUAUAAUUAUAGUUUAGAUGAUACAGACUAUUUUGAGUAUCCUAAUCCUGUAAUCAAUUUUAUUUUACUUGUAUUUUUUAUUAUCUUAAUUUUAGAAUUACAAAAUGGUCUCUUUAUCAAAGUUUUAGCUUUCUAUAUUAAGUUUCUUAUAGUUUACAUUGCACCUCAAUUGAACUUCUAUAUAAGAAACAACUUUCUAAACACAACAAGUAUACAAACUAUCACAUUAGAAUUUAGUAACUAAACUAGUUUUCUUCCACUUUUAAUCUUCUAUUUCAAGUUCAUAUAAAACUUUCAAGCAUUUAAUUAAACACUACCAAUAACAAUACAAACCCUAAUUGCUUUUGAUUUAAUAUAUGAAAUAUGAAAGAAUGAAGUUUUCUACAUUUUUCCUUAAUUACCUUUGAUUUUCUCUCUUUGGUAACUUAAAACCCUAAUCUUCCAACUUUGAAACCUUUCACACUACGGCUUUUUCUUUAGUUUUUUGACUUGGGAAAGGGUUUAGUUGAAAAGAGCUUUUGAUUUCAUGAAGAAAAUGGCUUCGAAAUGAAGGAAUUGAUAAGAGCAUGCAUUGGUUUAUCCAUGGUGAUGCGAAAUCCAAGAUCAACUCGUAAUAAAAAACACCAAAUACAUACUUGAUAGAGAACGAGGCAAAGAUAUCUUCCAAAAGUUGCUCUACUAUACUCUUAAUUAACCAAGAUGAUUAGAAAUGAAGAUUAUGGAGCGAAGGUUGCUCUAUUACAUCCCUAACUAACCAAUGCGAUUAGAAACAUAGAUAAUCAAGCGAUUCCAGCCUGAGAACACCACAAGAAAUUUUUGAUAAGUUAACUAAGUAUGGAGGAGAUCCAUAUUAGAAUGUCACAAGAUUGAACCUUGAUAAGUUGCUAAAUAAUGGAGAAGAACCGAAAUAUUAUUCAUAACAUUAUCUCUAUUCAUUUUCUCUCAUGACUGCCACCUUAAGAGUGUUUUUAUAAUCUCUGAAUCCUAAUUCUAGUCUAGGAAGGUAUAAUUACAAUAUAAGAAGGGUAUCUAGUUAAAUAGUUAAACUUAAAUUACAUUAAAAAUCUUUUUUCUAAAUUGUCUUGGAGAAAUUUCCUUCCUAAAUAGGCUGCACGAAUUUUUCUUCUAACUUAGGUCAAAUUAAUUUAAAAUAAAUCUCAUAAAAUACUAAAAUACCGAAAUAACAAAAUUGGUCUAAGUGUAAUUUGACCGUACAUGCAUUACAUGAUCUAAAAUUAUGUUGCGCGUCCACAUGUGUUGAAAAGUGUAUUGCUUAUUUCCUUAUUCUCUCAUGCUUUCCAAGUAUAGUUCUCAUGUGAUGAUAACUUGAUUUUUCAUGGUUUGGAGCUUUCCAUAUUAAAUUUUUGAAGAGUGAAUACUGAUAAGUUUCCUUAUUCUCUCAUGCUUUCCGAAUAAGUUGAAUUAGUAGGUUUUGGAUAAGAGAACAUAAAAGAAUCAAAGUUGUGCAGCCGUAAACUUUUACAAAAUCAUGGAUGAUUUUAGUUUCUUUAAAAUGAAAAUUUUUGAGAAUUAAAUUCUUUCAUUCCAAAUAAUAUUAAGGAAUUAAUAGAAAAACUGAAACUAGUGCAACCGUAAACUUAGCUUGGUGAUAGUCGCAUAUUGUGGAACCUGAGAGUUCCGGCUUCAACUCCCCCCUCCCCUUAGCCAGUAGUAAAAAUAAAAAUAUAAAAGUGGUGGUAUGAUGGUUCUGCUUUUACAACGGGUCCAAUAGGAUGUUCAAUUGUGACCAAAUCACUAUAUUUGCACAAGUCUAUGAAGAUAGUUGUCCAAAAUUUUCUUUUCUAUGCAGACAAACCGUACGACAGCAAGAAUUUUCCCAGCAGUGCUGGAUGUUGAGAACCCAGAAUUCAAGAGAAAGUUGGACCGUAUGGUGGAAAUUAACGAGAANNNN
rnacentral:lncRNA from 1 species